AACUCAUCAAGAGCAACUGAGGGACUGGCCCAAUGACGUUGCGGCAACCAUUGAGUAUUUAUCAAACGGUGCCAAAUCCUUUAAGUUUUACUUAGAAGAUGAGAG
rfam:Megamonas hypermegale ART12/1 draft genome.